GACGAACGCUGGCGGCGUGCUUAACACAUGCAAGUCGAACGCUGAAGCCCCAGCUUGCUGGGGUGGAUGAGUGGCGAACGGGUGAGUAACACGUGAGUAACCUGCCCAUCACUCUGGGAUAAGCACUGGAAACGGUGUCUAAUACUGGAUAUGCACAAUGGCCGCAUGGUCUGUUGUGGGAAAGAUUUAUCGGUGGUGGAUGGACUCGCGGCCUAUCAGCUUGUUGGUGAGGUAAUGGCUCACCAAGGCGACGACGGGUAGCCGGCCUGAGAGGGUGACCGGCCACACUGGGACUGAGACACGGCCCAGACUCCUACGGGAGGCAGCAGUGGGGAAUAUUGCACAAUGGGCGCAAGCCUGAUGCAGCAACGCCGCGUGAGGGAUGACGGCCUUCGGGUUGUAAACCUCUUUUAGUAGGGAAGAAGCGCAAGUGACGGUACCUGCAGAAAAAGCACCGGCUAACUACGUGCCAGCCGCCGCCGUAAUAC
rnacentral:rRNA from 1 species